rnacentral:rRNA from 1 species
UACGGAGGGUGCAAGCGUUAUCCGGAUUCACUGGGUUUAAAGGGUGCGUAGGUGGGCAGGUAAGUCAGUGGUGAAAUCUCCGGGCUUAACCCGGAAACUGCCAUUGAUACUAUCUGUCUUGAAUACCGUGGAGGUGAGCGGAAUAUGUCAUGUAGCGGUGAAAUGCUUAGAGAUGACAUAGAACACCUAUUGCGAAGGCAGCUUACUACGCAGAUAUUGACGCUCAUGCACGAAAGCGUGGGGAUCAAACAGG